GACGAACGCUGGCGGCGUGCUUAACACAUGCAAGUCGUGCGGUAAGGCCCUUUCGGGGGUACACGAGCGGCGAACGGGUGAGUAACACGUGAGCAACCUGCCCUUCACUUUGGGAUAACUGCCGGAAACGGUGGCUAAUACCGGAUAUGACUUCCUCACGCAUGUGGGGUGGUGGAAAGCCUUCGGGUGGUGGGGGAUGGGCUCGCGGUCUAUCAGCUUGUUGGUGGGGGGAUGGCCUACCAAGGCCUCGACGGGUAGCCGGCCUGAGAGGGUGACCGGCCACACUGGGCCUGAGACACGGCCCAGACUCCUACGGGAGGCAGCAGUGGGGAAUAUUGGACAAUGGGCGCAAGCCUGAUCCAGCAACGCCGCGUGCGGGAUGACGGCCUUCGGGUUGUAAACCUCUUUCGCCUGCGACGAAGCGAGAGUGACGGUAGCAGGUAAAGAAGCACCGGCCAACUACGUG
rnacentral:rRNA from 1 species